rnacentral:rRNA from 1 species
UACGUAGGGUGCGAGCGUUGUCCGGAUUUAUUGGGCGUAAAGAGCUCGUAGGCGGCUUGUCGCGUCGGAUGUGAAAGCCCCGGGGCUUAACUCCGGGUCUGCAUUCGAUACGGGCAGGCUAGAGUUCGGUAGGGGAGACUGGAAUUCCUGGUGUAGCGGUGAAAUGCGCAGAUAUCAGGAGGAACACCGGUGGCGAAGGCGGGUCUCUGGGCCGAUACUGACGCUGAGGAGCGAAAGCGUGGGGAGCGAACAGG